CUCAUCACUUCCGCCUCCCUGUGGUCUCUGAAAGCUAGACAACCGGAGCUUAUACAGAUCCGACGGUGGAGCCUUCGCCUUCCCCUCAAAUGCUCCACUUCUAGAUUAGGUAAACGCGAUGCUCCGGAGGGACAAAUCGCCGGAGCGCGCGGGCGGAAAGAGUGUCGUGGCGGGGUUAGGGCACGGGACCGGUCUGGCAGUCCCGUGAGCUUGAGAGAAUUGAAUGCCUCCACAAUUGUCAACCAGGCUUGUUCUUGCACAGCCUGUUGGCUUCUGGUGGAGUUUGACUUUUGGAAAGUAGGAUGGCCCAGAUAGGAGAAGAGAAAGAGGAGUCUGCUGGUGACGUUCUGGAGAACUUUUGUUUGUUUACUGAACAUGGAAGGGAGGUACUCUUUCUGCCUUGCCUGUUUUAUUUUCAGGAAGCAGGGUUGGGAAUGAAAAUCCUUGGAGCUGAAACAGCCAUCCUGAAGCUAUAACAAGCCGGAGGAAUAAAUAAACCCCAGUUUCUUGUAUCCUGGGUGAUGUAUUCAGUGGAUGGCCUAGGGGGCUGAGCAGCGUGCAUUAAAGCUUGCUGAAGAUACACGAGACAGAGACAACUGAGAUUGUGGCAGCUCUCCACAAAAGAUGCCAUGCCCAGUGAAAAGUCAAACAGUGGAGUUUGAGUCUGUACUUUUUUUUCCCAGACAACCUCAGUGCCUACGACUGUCUUUAAACUGGUGUUUCUCCUGCCUGAGCCUUCUGAGUAGUAGGAGUGCAGGUGUGCUCCAUCAGGUUGAGGUGUUAACCAUUUCUAAUAUAAAAUCAACCUGUAAUGCUUUAAGUAACACUAAUAAUAAAAGGCCAUUUUGUACA